GUGAUUCAAGCAGCUCAGUAGAACUCUUUGAACUUGGGCAGAAUAAAGAAGCCAAACCUAAAUCAGACAGACUGAGUCUUUCUGCAGACUGUUCUCUGGUUAUAAAGAAGGUCACAGAUCAGGAUGUUGGUCGUUACACCUGCAGACAGUUCAAAACAGCAACAGGAUCACAAGAAGGUCCAGACUUUACGAUUCAUCUGUCUGUUAUUAACAGUGAAGAUGUGAAAACAACUAAAUCAACAACAUCAACAAUUAAACCAACCGUGAAAAUAAAGACAUGGACAACAAGAGAGGAAUUAAAGACAUCAGCAGGGACACUGACAACAGCAUCAAAUAUUCCAUCUGGAGUUCAUUCAGGGUUUAGCAUCGUUCCUGUGGGUUUAGCAGCACUCUUAAUAACUGUUGCUACAGUCAACAUGUGGAUAAAAUGUAACGG